GCCAGGAUGGUGUAGUGGUUUGACUAUUGGAUUACAACUCUGGAGACCAGGGUUCAAUUCCCAGCUCAGCCA